AAAGGUUGAUGCGAGCAGAAAAGGUCAUGGCUGAUGUGCAAUGGCGGCCGGGAAUAUGAUAAAUUUCGUUUCAUUAUCGACCAUCACUGGAUAGCGGCCCAGAACCAGCUACUCCCACCGAUGCCAUCCACGGUAUCUCGCCUUCUCUCCUUUCUCCUUCCCCCGCUUUCGGGCCGCUGUGAACGCAUCCUCAUCUCCCCUUUCUCGGCCGCCGCGCUGCACUGCAAGCACCUUUGGUCCACCGCCGCCUCCCUCCGCUGGUGUGAACCCCUUGCUCCGCCGCCCGUCGCUGCCGUUACCCAUCCCCUUCUCGUUGCCGGAGAUUAACCCUAACUCGUCGUGCUUCCUUUCCCUUCCUUCCGAAUCUUCCCUUCGUAAAACCCUAAACCCUACUACUUAUCAAUCACCCACUCGAAAUCUCAACCUUAGCUCCCUUCCUCCAGCUUUUCUAAUGUGCCGGAUGGUUCCGAUCGGUUUUGUUCCGAAAAGAUUAAUCUCUACUCUAAACCCUAGUUCUAAUCUCGCUGCUUGCCAGCAUUCCCUUCUUAUCUUCUCAUCUGAAUCUGUUGUGAAUCCCAAUCUCUCUUCACUUUCUGCCCCAAAUUCUGAUCCUAAUUAUCGUCAUUUUCUUUCAAAACUCCCAUUUCUAUCCCCAUUCGAUGUUAAACGGCCAGUUGGGUUGUUUUCAACCCUUUAUCCUGUAAUCUACAAGGCAUCAGGAACAAGAAUCCUGGCUGUGCUUUCGAGAUCUAGCUUCCCACAUCCACGGUCUAUUAGAUUUUGCUUUCAUUUGUUUUCGAGUUAUUCUCGUACAUCUUCUAAGAGACCCGGUGUUCCUAAUACUUUUGGAAGAUCCGGAAUGACUGAACGAAAACCUAGGCUUCAUAAUGUGGGAGUAGAUCCAAAUAAGGUGCUUGAGAUUGUCGAAAUGAUUAGAGGAGAUGCAAGUGAUUUGGAAUCAAAGUUGAAUCAGAUAAAUUUGAGGCUUUCCCAUGCUUUAGUUGCCGAGAUUCUUCAUGUUUUGAAUGAUCGUGGCAUUUCGGCAUUAUGUUUCUUUAAUUGGGUUUUGAAUUCUGGCCAGCAUUUUAGGCCUACUGCAGGAAUUUACAAUCAGAUUGUAAACAAUCUUGGUCGGUCAGAUGAUUUUGAAACUAUGUUCCAAAUGUUAUGCGGGCUCUCUUCAAAGGGGCAUUGUCUCAACGAAAAGGCUUUUAGUUUUUUGACUCGCAGUUCUAUUAGCCUUAAGGAUUCCAUCAGCAAAAUCAUUGAAACACUAAAUGGAGUUGGAGGGUCAUGUCGAGGGUCUGGAAUUUACUCAGUGAUUAAGGUGCUCUGUGCGAUUAAUGCCUUUCAUCUUGCCAUCUUUGUAAUGGAAGAGACAGCAAGAAAGACUUCUUACUACCAUGUGCUUAUUGCAGCAAAGUGUCGGAAUGGUGAUUUCCAAGGGGCCCAAGAUUUACUUGAUGAGAUGAGAACAUUUGGUUGCAACCCGAGUACCAAAUCAUAUAAUUAUCUGCUAGGGAGCCUGUUUAAGAACAAGAGGGUUGUUGAAGCUUGUGAGUUGCUCAAAACAAUGGAAGAAUUGGGUUACCUUCCAGAUACUGUUACUUUCGACAUGGUCAUAAUUCAUGCAUGUAAGGCCAAUAGGAUGGAUUUUGCAGUUGAGUUCCUUAACCAGAUUUUGUCUGAAGGGAUUAAGCCAAGGAUGGCAAUGCAUGCAGCAUUCAUAAAGGGAUAUUUUUGGUCGGGGCGAGUGGAAGAUGCAUACAAGUAUGUGGUUGAUAUGAGUGUGAAGGAUAAGUGCUCAAGCAAUGUGAAUUACAGCUUACUUGCCAGCCUUUUCCAUGUAUCAGGGAGGGUGGUAGAAGCAGGCAGGGUUCUUCAUGAGAUGAUGGAGAAGGGACUGAAACCCAAUUUCCCUGUUUAUAUGAGAGUAGCAAAAGAUUUACACAAAAUGGCUAGGGGAGAUUUGGCUUCAGAAUUAAAAUCUAUAUUUCUGAGGUUUACUCAAGCACAGAUGCUGGAUGAUGUUUCUUGACAAUUUACAUCUCAAUUUUGUAUGGAUUCAGACAAUUCCAUUCUGAACUGCACUUUGAAACCCCUAGGCUGGUUAUAUCCUUGACCUGGGAAGGUUUAACUCACAUCAAACAUUUCCAGUGGAAAUGAGCUUCGUGUCUCGACUAUCAAAGAAGCAUCAGCUGGUGGCCACGAGCAGUCUGUUCAUAGCAGUGGGAUCCUAUGAGUGGAUCAGUUACUAUAAACAGUGACAAUCCUUCAUCGAGGAGCGAAGAGCGAUUGGGUCCUACAGUUCCUUGUUUGACUUCUAUUUCUAUUUUCACUAUGCUACUUUGAUCUCAUGUAGGUUAAGGAAACCCAUAGGGCUCCUUAACUGCAUCACAGAACCUAAAGCUCUAACAAGUGGAGAGGCAUGCCAACCAACCAAGAAAAGAUUAACUGGCAUAGUUGAGUUAAUGAGUGCCACGGACGCACCUUGAUACUUGUGAAAGUAUGGGAAACCUUUGAGCUAAGUGUAAUAACAACCUCAAAAAAUGUUAAACCCCCCUCUUUUACCCUUCUCCUUUGCUUUUGGCAAAAUUAUGGGCAAAACUAUCCAUGGCUUACCUUUACGAGCAACCUGAAUUCUAAAUAGGUCUUCGGUCAAGAAAAGAAGAAAAAUUAGAAUACAGGGCCAUUACCCUACCAUAGCUAACCAUAGAUGAAGAAUUCUCCUGCACCCUUCAUCAUCUCCUUAUUCGUCAAAAUCCCCUUGUGGUUCCCACACAUUGUCUUUCAUGGCUUCAGCGAGUACAAUCCAUCAUCAUGGACCUAGGAAUAAGACUGAUCGAAGACCUCACAAGUCUAAUGAUUCCAAUUUAAAGAAGGAAAAGGGGAAGAGGACUUCCAUCUACAAAGGGGUCAUAAGGUUAGAAAGUGAUAAAAUAAACUAGCUAUUUUGAUUUUUCUUGUACUAAAUUUGAAGGGAUGUCCACAGGCAUAAAUGGACUGGGAAAUAUGAAGCUCACCUGUGGGAUAAGGACUUUCAGAACCACCACCAAAACAAGAAGGGAAAAUAAGGUAGAAGAAACAAGCAACAACAGGAAAUAGAAAGAGGGGAGAAAGGACAUUAUGCUGAUUACUUUAUUUUUUAAUUUAUAUUGCUGCAUAUUUUGUGGUAACAUUUUUGGUUUUAUCACUUCUUAUUGGUUGUUGGUGGUGAACUGAAAUUGUGAUCCUUUUGUCCUCAACCUAAUUUUCUUGGGUUAGUUAUAAGACAUACAUUCGGAAAGAUUUAAAUUUUUAAGAUAUUUUUGCUUCAUAAGUAACCAUAUAAAUUAGUACCCUAUGGAAGAAAAGAUCCCUCAAUUUAUUUGAUUGAAUGCAUAAUUGAUGGUGUGGUUUAGGUGUGUAUGAUGAUGAGGAGGCAGCUGUUCAUGCCUGUGAUCUUGCUUCUCUAAAGUAUUGGGGAUGAGGAACUAUUCUUAACUUACCUGAAAACACGUAUGUAAAUGAGUGCCAGGAGAUGCAAAGCAUGUCCAAGAUUGAUUAUGUAGCUUCUCUUUGACGUAGUAGCAAUGGAUUUACAAGAGGAGCAUAAAAAUAUCAUGGAUUCACUCGGCACAACUCCAGCAGGAGAUGGGAGGCUAGAAUUCAUGAUGCUCAUGACAAAAACCUUUAUCUUGGGACUCUUGAGACUCAAGAGGAGGCUGCAAAAGCUUAUGAUCUUGCUGCAAUGAAUUAUAAAGGUUCUGAUGCCCUAACCAACUUCCCCAUGAGCAGCUAUCUCAAAAAACAUCCAAAAUCAUCUCAGCAAUUGCGAGUACCUUAGCUUGGUUUCCCAAGAGGUAUGCCCAAGUCCCUUUCUAAGCAUUAGUAGCUACAUCCAAAGCCCUAGAUAAAACUAUCCUUAUAUAAUAAACAUGAUCAUUCUAGAGGAGUCUCUACAUGGAUGCAUCCUCUGAAACAUGCCAGCCCUAAUCUCGCCCUAAGCUUCACCAGUUUAUGUUAUGGAUAAGAGAUGAUGUAAGUAGAGAUUGUGGGGAUGGUGGAAGAAAACACUUGUUUGAAGACAUUGUCAAGAAUCUUGGCAUGGUUGCACGAGGGUUGGUGUGCCCAGUUGAUUAGGCCCGAGUUUGUCCCAUGGUGAAGGAUAUAUUGACUACUUCUCUUGCUACUCUACUACUAAGUCUUUCCUCUGUAUAGUUGUACAUCUUCUAUUCUUAUCACUUGCAUGUUCUCAUCUAAUAAUAUAGUUCUACACAUGAAAAGUGAAUGAAUUUGUUGACUGAGUAUUGAUUUCUCAUGUUCUCUUCUGAUGAGUAAUAUGAUCUUUGA